GUUGGUUCCUGAAGAAGAUGGAUCACAGAGCGAGUGGGGAGCUGGACUGUGAUCAGGAAAGAAAGCACUGCUGGGCUCUUAUAAGAUUAGGCUUUCCCUAGUGGAGUAAAUAGUAGAAGAAUAGCUACAGGUUCAGAGCAAGAUUUAACAACGAAAAGGAAAGCAGAAGAGAGAACACAAGUGAAAAGGAAGUGUCCACCUCUCCCCAAUGCAAGGAAGCAAAGAAGAGAGACUUGGGUGGGGUUCCAGAGAGAGAAGAUUCCUGCCUUGUGCCAAACCUAUAAAAGGGAGUGAAAGAGAACAAAGAGGGUCCCAGUCAUGAGAAAGCCCCUGCUUUUCACCCAAGAUGGCUGCUGGAACCAACAAGGACUGUACUGGGGAAAGGAUGGGCCCAGACUAGGAAGGAGUCUAAUCUGUGAAAAAAGCUUAUUGGAACAUCUCUCAGAGUGAGAUUUAUUAGUAUUUGGUCUCUUAAUGUACUAGGCUUCAACUUGCGUGUUUUGUUUGAUUUUGCUUGGUAACUUACUUUGUUCUGUCUAUUACUUAAAACCAC